UGAAAUGGUCCGAUGCACUUCACUUGCAAUGCAGAUCAUCAUUUCUGGACAGCUUUCUACUUACUGCUGUGGACAUGAAAGGAUCGUCCUAGGCUUGCCCAUGCUGAUGGGCUGCACCACAGCAGUACUGGAGCUGAAUUCCUGUUAGAAAACAUCUUCAGGAUGCUUUGACCAGGACACCUCCAAUGUGAAGCAGUGGACAGCUGAAGAUGUUGCUG